rnacentral:lncRNA from 1 species
UUUCGUCAAAGUUGACCAAAAAGUCAACAAUUGGUCAAAAAUGUUAAGAUUUGUAUUUUCUUAUGUAGAAUCACAUGUAAUGGUUUAAAAUGACAUGAAAUGGGUUGAAAUGGUUUGAAAAAUGGUUGGAAGUUAAUUUCAUAAUUGGUUUAUUCAUAACUUGAAUGUUUGACUUUUGGAAAGAAAAUAAUUUGACUGAUAAUAUAUGUUAACAAGGUCAUAAAGUGAGACCAUAAGGUUGGGGUUUUGAUAUAAUAUUAAU